UACGGGGGGAGCAAGCGUUGUUCGGAUUUACUGGGCGUAAAGGGCGCGUAGGCGGCCAGCACAAGUCAGUUGUGAAGUCUCCGAGCUUAACUCGGAAAGGUCAACUGAUACUGUGCGGCUAGAGUGCAGAAGGGGCAACUGGAAUUCUUGGUGUAGCGGUGAAAUGCGUAGAUAUCAAGAGGAACACCUGCGGCGAAGGCGGGUUGCUGGGCUGACACUGACGCUGAGGCGCGAAAGCUAGGGGAGCGAACGGG
rnacentral:rRNA from 1 species